GACGAACGCUGGCGGCGUGCUUAACACAUGCAAGUCGAACGGAAAGGCCCUGCUUUUGUGGGGUGCUCGAGUGGCGAACGGGUGAGUAACACGUGAGUAACCUGCCCUUGACUUUGGGAUAACUUCAGGAAACUGGGGCUAAUACCGGAUAGGAUCUCCUGCUGCAUGGUGGGGGUUGGAAAGUUUCGGCGGUUGGGGAUGGACUCGCGGCUUAUCAGCUUGUUGGUGGGGUAGUGGCUUACCAAGGCUUUGACGGGUAGCCGGCCUGAGAGGGUGACCGGCCACAAUGGGACUGAGAUACGGCCCAGACUCCUACGGGAGGCAGCAGUGGGGAGUAUUGCACAAUGGGCGGAAGCCUGAUGCAGCAACGCCGCGUGCGGGAUGACGGCCUUCGGGUUGUAAACCGCUUUCGCCUGUGACGAAGCGUGAGUGACGGUAAUGGGUAAAGAAGCACCGGCUAACUACGUG
rnacentral:rRNA from 1 species